GGCAGUUCUUGGGUGAUGCACCCCAGAAUCAGACUCCCUCCUCUCUGGUUCUGGGUGCAUCACCUGAGAACUGCA
rfam:Myotis brandtii contig168522, whole genome shotgun sequence.